CCCGCUGAACUUAAGCAUAUCAAUAAGCGGAGGAAAAGAAACCAACUGGGAUUGCCUCAGUAACGGCGAGUGAAGCGGCAUCAGCUCAGAUUUGAAAUCUGGUUCUUUCAGAGCCCGAGUUGUAAUCUGUAGAGGAGUCUUCGGGUUUGGAUCUGGCCUAAGUUUCUUGGAACAGAACAUCAUAGAGGGUGAGAGUCCCGUAUGAGGCCGGCUACCUAUUCCCAUGUGAAGCUUCUUCGACGAGUCGAGUUGUUUGGGAAUGCAGCUCAAAAUGGGUGGUAAAUUUCAUCUAAAGCUAAAUAUUGGCGGGAGACCGAUAGCGCACAAGUAGAGUGAUCGAAAGAUGAAAAGCACUUUGAAAAGAGAGUUAAAAAGUACGUGAAAUUGUUGAAAGGGAAACGCUUGCGAUUAGACUUGCGCUCAGGUGAUCAACCGGUGUUCUCACCGGUGCACUCUCCUGCUUGCAGGCCAGCAUCGGUUUGGGCGGUUGGAUAAAGGCCCUAGGAAUGUAGCUGUCCUCGGUGCAGUGUUAUAGCCUAGGGUGCAAUGCAGCCAGCCUGGACCGAGGUCCGCGCUUCGGCUAGGAUGCUGGCAUAAUGGUCGUAAGCGACCCGUCUUGAAACACGG
rnacentral:rRNA from 1 species